UGCGCGUUGGUUAAUGGUCGGAAAUCCUCAUGGCGCAAGGGGCUACACGCCUUGCAAAUCCGUGUAGGUCGGUUCGACUCCGGCUCGCGCCUCCA
rnacentral:tRNA from 1 species